rnacentral:rRNA from 1 species
GUAGGGAAUAUUGCGCAAUGGACGAAAGUCUGACGCAGCGACGCCGCGUGAGUGAUGAAGGCCUUAGGGUCGUAAAGCUCUGUUGAAUGGGAAGAAAAAAAUGACGGUACCAUUCGAGGAAGGACCGGCUAACUUCGUGCCAGCAGCCGCGGUAAUACGAGGGGUCCUAGCGUUGUUCGGAAUCAUUGGGCGUAAAGGGUGUGUAGGUGGCCAUGUAAGUCAGGUGUGAAAGGCCCGGGCUCAACCCGGGAAGUGCACUUGAUACUGCGUGGCUUGAGUACCGAAGAGGGUAGUGGAAUUCCAGGUGUAGUGGUGAAAUACGUAGAUAUCUGGAGGAACACCGGUGGCGAAGGCGGCUACCUGGUCGAGUACUGACACUGAGACACGAAAGCAUGGGGAUCAAACAGGAUUAGAAACCCGUGUAGUCC